rnacentral:tRNA from 1 species
UCCCUGAUAGCUCAGUUGGUAAAGAAUCUGCCUGCAAAGCAGGAGACCGAGGUUUGAUUCCUGGGUUGGGAA